GCCAGGCGUGAUGGCUCACGUCUGUAAUCCCAGCACUUUGGGAGGCCGAGGCGGGUGGAUCACCUGAGGUCAGGAGUUCAAGACCAGCCUGACCAACAUGGAGAAACCCCGUCUCUA
rnacentral:SRP_RNA from 1 species